GGCCAGUGAUGCGAGUAUAAAUAUUUGCUACUCUUGAUUGGAGUUUUUUCAACUCCAACUGAUGAUUUUUUAACCACCAAGAUCUCUGAGGCC